AUCAAAUACAUUCAAAUACACUUCACUUAAAGCAGAAUUUAAGCGAAAUUUCGGGAAAAUACAUACAAUCUCCCGACUCGAGGCCCGACUCCACGUAGGGGGGAACCCGCCCAACCAUCAGUACGAUAGGCGUCGACAGCGCUCCCAGUGUUAAUCUGUCUUCUCAAUAUACUCGGCGCAGAAUAAGAUCAUGACCAGUCGCGCAUUCAAAACAACUUCCUCUACUGCACCGCCCACCAUGGUGGCAGUUACCGGCUUUGUAUAUGGAGCCAAUGAGAAAUCGGCUGCGCGUAACGGACGCUAAUCGGUCCCACCGCCUGGUCAUGAUCUUAUUCCGCGCCGAGUAUAAGGUCUAUGGGUUUUGGCCGUUACAGUGUGCCAGUCGCUUGAACAUGAUAUUAUUAUAGCCCAAAACAUGUUUUAUUCUCUCUCAUAUUAUGUUCAUAUGUUUAAACGUUUGUUUUCUCUCUCAGUUAUACUUAUGUCGUCUGAAUCAACCAUAUUAGGCAGCAUGGCAGGGCGGCGAGGGAAGCGCUGUCCGUUAGAGUACGUGUCCGUAUUUGGUUCGACGUUUUUUGUUUCAUCGUCGUCCCCCUCUUUUCUUAGAAUAUGUUCAUGGUGCUAGCGUCGCACCGCUAACCGUCGCUACCCGCCGACGGCCGGCUGGUUCGCACUUCGCAGUUCGCGUUCACUUUUCACAUUAUUACGGCCGUGUUAUUUGGCCAUGAUUACGGCCUCGCGUGACGUCCGGCACGGUGCCAGCCAUUGCUUCCGUGCUGUGCACCAGGCGGCCAGCACCGCCGUCCGCCAUCUUGAACGACUGACAGUACAACAUGUGGGCCGUGACAAAAUAUUAUAAACAUUUUAGUUUUAAAAUAUAUUUUGUCAUGUUUCAACCUUCAACCUCGGUUUCGGGUCGUUCGCAAUUUCGCGUCCACCGGACGAUCCGAACGGAUCAUGGAACAUGGAACCAUGUGCGUCGACGUUUUACGUCCGCCUCGUUUUGUUCACCUUCAUGCUCGGCUGGUCGCACGGUAUAAGUCUGUCCGUUUUGCAUCCGCGCGUGUUCGCCGGAUAGUGGCCAUACGUUCGCCCUCGUGGUUUGUGUUCGGUACCCGCGCCACCCGUUGACCACUGGUGCCGGGUUGUUCGCAUCAUAUCGCGUCCGCUCCGCUCGGGUUCACCGGAAAAUCCGUCCACCGCCACCGACACUUGCCAUUGUUAUUUGUUGGCCUAGGUGGGUUUUCAAUUUGUCUCGACGUUCCCGAUGUCCGUUGGGCAACGGCAUGGCCGAAUGGGCAAAUUCGGCCCGCCGGGUUUUCCAUACUUCGGCAGCACACUUACAAACUGGCAGCCCUUGGUCAGCGCGGCCUCUCAUGACUUGAACGGCCUAUAAUUGUCGCGGUCCACACAGUUUUACUCUGUAACAUGCAAUGGCGCCUCCGAGUUCCCAGUGCGGUACGCGAUCCAGCGGCCAGGUGUAUUAACGCCUCAACCAGUUCUUCAGCACGGCUGAGCACACCAGCGUUCAGCAGGUCAAGACAUCGGCGUAUGACACUACAUGAAUCGGGUGACUAUGGCCUUGAACACUUCAGAAUACAAACAGUAGACUUUUUGGGACUCGGGUAAACAACAAUCGUAUAAACUCAGGUUGGCUCACGGGAUCAUUUCCCUGUUUUUCAACGGGUCGUACUUACAGGUAUGAAGAACCCAAUCGGCAUUUCAAAUUUAAUAUAUAACAUAACCUCUUAUUUAUAACUAUUAAGUACCUAUGUAAUAUUUUGCGUAGGUAUAGGUACAACAUUAUUAACAUGAUACAACAUCUAUAUCUUAAAUAUUCCUCAUACACAAUAAUUUAUAAUCACAUAGGUACUAAAAGAUACAUAAAUAAAAUAAAAAAUUGUCAUGUCUUACUUGAGUUUGCUCCCUUGUAGACAAUUUUGAGUUGUUCUCCCAUUUUAAAAAUUGAGUUUGCUCGAUGGUCUCAUUCUGAAUUUACAAUUAGGCUUUUAAGUGUUGCUUUUAAAAAAAAUUAAGUGUGUCUCUAUUUUUACAAUCUAAGUUAGGGUUUUGUAAAAAAAAAAGCUGGAGAAGCACUGGUCUGUAACAUAUGCACUCGCAUAUGCAAUAGUUUCCUUCAAGGUUUCUUUAUGGUGUAUGGAUCUAUUACAGUAAAUUUAUUUGAAACAUUUAUUUAUGUGCUUAAUAUUUUAACAUAUUAUUUAAAGGGACUCCAGUCAGAUUUGUCAAAAGUUAAAA